GGUCUGUAAGUCUCGUCACGUGACUCGCGAGAUUCUACGAUAAUUUUCACUUCCGGGUACCUGACAUGAGGAACUGUGUAUUUAGUUAAGCAUGUUUCUGGUUUAUACAAAGCUUUUGAGGAAAAGUUAAGUAGUUAUACAAAGCAGAACGGUUCUCCGACUUACGAUGGAUGAAUUGCGUGUCAUAAAAGCUUGGGUGCGAGUGUCCACCAGGAAAAAUUCGAUCGAAGUACAGAUUUUUCUCGAAUUCGAGGACGAUAUUGUUAUUAUCAGCUAAUUAUCAUGAUUAUAGAGGAGAAGUUUUGUCAGUGUCCGAUGGGUACAAACGUCAUAUUGUGGAGCCUGCAUGCAUCACUUUUGCAUCGCAGAAGUACAAGAGAACCAGGCAGUAACAAAGAUGAAAGAUGCUGUUGCUGAAAGAUCCAGUCAAGCACUAAACUGACAUUGAAUGAUCAGCCUCCUUAAAAUUGCAAAUCAAAUACAGGUUUUUGUCAGCUUAUCUGGAAAUCUUAGGACAUCACUGAUUUGAUCAAGAACUCAUCCAGCGUGAAGACCAGCCAUGUGCCUCACUUGUCAUGACAUUAUUAAAGCACUUUGUGACAGUGGGAAGAUGGGAUUUAAAACAUGACAUGGCUCUAUAUUAUUGCAUCAAAGACCAAUCCAGGUUUACGUAUAAAGUGAAGGAAAACAGUCAAGCAUCAUUUGGAGCCACGUGUACAUAUGUAAC